rnacentral:rRNA from 1 species
GAUGAACGCUGGCGGCGUGCCUAAUACAUGCAAGUCGAGCGAACAGACGAGGAGCUUGCUCCUCUGAUGUUAGCGGCGGACGGGUGAGUAACACGUGGAUAACCUACCUAUAAGACUGGGAUAACUUCGGGAAACCGGAGCUAAUACCGGAUAAUAUUUUGAACCGCAUGGUUCAAUAGUGAAAGACGGUUUUGCUGUCACUUAUAGAUGGAUCCGCGCCGCAUUAGCUAGUUGGUAAGGUAACGGCUUACCAAGGCAACGAUGCAUAGCCGACCUGAGAGGGUGAUCGGCCACACUGGAACUGAGACACGGUCCAGACUCCUACGGGAGGCAGCAGUAGGGAAUCUUCCGCAAUGGGCGAAAGCCUGACGGAGCAACGCCGCGUGAGUGAUGAAGGUCUUCGGAUCGUAAAACUCUGUUAUUAGGGAAGAACAAAUGUGUAAGUAACUAUGCACGUCUUGACGGUACCUAAUCAGAAAGCCACGGCUAACUACGUG